UAGACAGUUUGCCACUUAACCUAACGUU
rnacentral:sRNA from 1 species